rnacentral:rRNA from 1 species
GGAGUCUAACAUGUGCGCGAGUCAUUGGGUUGCAAACCUAAAGGCGGAAUGAAAGUGAAGAGAGCUUUGCUUUUCUGAGGGAGGAUGGCCGCGCUGCUCUUGAGGCGGCGGCCCGCACUCCCGGGGCGUCUAUCGCUCACAGCGAGCGGAGGCGCACCAAGAGCGUACACGUUAGGACCCGAAAGAUGGUGAACUAUGCCUGGUCAGGACGAAGCCAGGGGAAACCCUGGUGGAGGUCCGUAGCGAUUCUGACGUGCAAAUCGAUCGUCGGAGCUGGGUAUAGGGGCGAAAGACUAAUCGAACCAUCUAGUAGCUGGUUCCCUCCGAAGUUUCCCUCAGGAUAGCUGGUGCCCGCGUGAAACGAGUCUCAUCCGGUAAAGCGAAUGAUUAGAGGCCUUGGGGCCGAAACGACCUCAACCUAUUCUCAAACUUUAAAUAGAUGAGAACUCCGGCUUGCUUAACGGUGAAGCCGGAGAUUCGGAUCAGGGUGCCCAGUGGGCCAAUUUUG